UCUGGUGGUUAUUGCGAGAAGGUCACACCCGUUCCCAUCCCGAACACGGAAGUUAAGUUUCUCAGCGUCGAUGGUAGUAGGGGCUUCCCCCUGUGAGAGUAGAUCGUUGCCAGGC
rnacentral:rRNA from 2 species